CCAGACAGCCAGGAUGUUGGCUUAGAAGCAGCCAUCAUUUAAAGAAAGCGUAAUAGCUCACUGGUCGAGUCGGCCUGCGCGGAAGAUGUAACGGGGCUAAACCAUGCACCGAAGCUGCGGCAGCGACGCUUAUGUGUUGUUGGGUAGGGGAGCGUUCUGUAAGCCUGUGAAGGUGGCCUGUGAGGGUUGCUGGAGGUAUCAGAAGUGCGAAUGCUGACAUAAGUAACGAUAAAGCGGGUGAAAAGCCCGCUCGCCGGAAGACCAAGGGUUCCUGUCCAACGUUAAUCGGGGCAGGGUGAGUCGACCCCUAAGGCGAGGCCGAAAGGCGUAGUCGAUGGGAAACAGGUUAAUAUUCCUGUACUUGGUGUUACUGCGAAGGGGGGACGGAGAAGGCUAUGUUGGCCGGGCGACGGUUGUCCCGGUUUAAGCGUGUAGGCUGGUUUUCCAGGCAAAUCCGGAAAACCAAGGCUGAGGCGUGAUGACGAGGCACUACGGUGCUGAAGCGACAAAUGCCCUGCUUCCAGGAAAAGCCUCUAAGCAUCAGGUAACAUCAAAUCGUACCCCAAACCGACACAGGUGGUCAGGUAGAGAAUACCAAGGCGCUUGAGAGAACUCGGGUGAAGGAACUAGGCAAAAUGGUGCCGUAACUUCGGGAGAAGGCACGCUGAUAUGUAGGUGAAGCGACUUGCUCGUGGAGCUGAAAUCAGUCGAAGAUACCAGCUGGCUGCAACUGUUUAUUAAAAACACAGCACUGUGCAAACACGAAAGUGGACGUAUACGGUGUGACGCCUGCCCGGUGCCGGAAGGUUAAUUGAUGGGGUUAGCGGCAACGCGAAGCUCUUGAUCGAAGCCCCGGUAAACGGCGGCCGUAACUAUAACGGUCCUAAGGUAGCGAAAUUCCUUGUCGGGUAAGUUCCGACCUGCACGAAUGGCGUAAUGAUGGCCAGGCUGUCUCCACCCGAGACUCAGUGAAAUUGAACUCGCUGUGAAGAUGCAGUGUACCCGCGGCAAGACGGAAAGACCCCGUGAACCUUUACUAUAGCUUGACACUGAACAUUGAGCCUUGAUGUGUAGGAUAGGUGGGAGGCUUUGAAGUGUGGACGCCAGUCUGCAUGGAGCCGACCUUGAAAUACCACCCUUUAAUGUUUGAUGUUCUAACGUGGGCCCCUAAUCGGGGUUGCGGACAGUGUCUGGUGGGUAGUUUGACUGGGGCGGUCUCCUCCUAAAGAGUAACGGAGGAGCACGAAGGUUGGCUAAUCCUGGUCGGACAUCAGGAGGUUAGUGCAAUGGCAUAAGCCAGCUUGACUGCGAGCGUGACGGCGCGAGCAGGUGCGAAAGCAGGUCAUAGUGAUCCGGUGGUUCUGAAUGGAAGGGCCAUCGCUCAACGGAUAAAAGGUACUCCGGGGAUAACAGGCUGAUACCGCCCAAGAGUUCAUAUCGACGGCGGUGUUUGGCACCUCGAUGUCGGCUCAUCACAUCCUGGGGCUGAAGUAGGUCCCAAGGGUAUGGCUGUUCGCCAUUUAAAGUGGUACGCGAGCUGGGUUUAGAACGUCGUGAGACAGUUCGGUCCCUAUCUGCCGUGGGCGCUGGAGAACUGAGGGGGGCUGCUCCUAGUACGAGAGGACCGGAGUGGACGCAUCACUGGUGUUCGGGUUGUCAUGCCAAUGGCACUGCCCGGUAGCUAAAUGCGGAAGAGAUAAGUGCUGAAAGCAUCUAAGCACGAAACUUGCCCCGAGAUGAGUUCUCCCUGAGACUUAGAGUCUCCUGAAGGAACGUUGAAGACGACGACGUUGAUAGGCCGGGUGUGUAAGCGCAGCGAUGCGUUGAGCUAACCGGUACUAAUGAACCGUGAGGCUUAACCUU
rnacentral:rRNA from 1 species